rnacentral:rRNA from 1 species
AUGUACAUUCCUACAACAUUAAUGCAGUGUAUCCCAUUAGAACUCCAUAGUUAAGCACACUUGGGAUAGAGUAGUAUUGGGAUGGGUAACAUCUCGAUAAAUCCUAGUGUUUUACAUG